GAUGAACGCUGGCGGCGUGCUUAACACAUGCAAGUCGAACGAUGAAGCCCAGCUUGCUGGGUGGAUUAGUGGCGAACGGGUGAGUAACACGUGAGUAACCUGCCCUUAACUCUGGGAUAAGCCUGGGAAACUGGGUCUAAUACCGGAUAGGAGCGUCCACCGCAUGGUGGGUGUUGGAAAGAUUUAUCGGUUUUGGAUGGACUCGCGGCCUAUCAGCUUGUUGGUGAGGUAAUGGCUCACCAAGGCGACGACGGGUAGCCGGCCUGAGAGGGUGACCGGCCACACUGGGACUGAGACACGGCCCAGACUCCUACGGGAGGCAGCAGUGGGGAAUAUUGCACAAUGGGCGCAAGCCUGAUGCAGCGACGCCGCGUGAGGGAUGACGGCCUUCGGGUUGUAAACCUCUUUCAGUAGGGAAGGAGCGAAAGUGACGGUACCUGCAGAAGAAGCACCGGCUAACUACGUG
rnacentral:rRNA from 1 species